rnacentral:rRNA from 1 species
GAUGAACGCUAGCUACAGGCUUAACACAUGCAAGUCGAGGGACCGGCGCACGGGUGAGUAACACGUAUCCAACCUGCCCUUUACUCGGGGAUAGCCUUUCGAAAGAAAGAUUAAUACCCGAUGGAAAGGAUGGGGAUGGGUUCCAUUAGGUUGUUGGUGAGGUAACGGCCAACCAAGCCUUCGAUGGAUAGGGGUUCUGAGAGGAAGGUCCCCCACAUUGGAACUGAGACACUGUCCAAACUCCUACGGGAGGCAGCAGUGAGGAAUAUUGGUCAAUGGGCGCUAGCCUGAACCAGCCAAGUAGCGUGAAGGAUGAAGGCUUAUGGGUCGUAAACUUCUUUUAUACAAGAAUAUGUAUUAGAUGAAUAAGGAUCGGCUAACUCCGUGCCAGCCGCCGCGGUAAUAC